rnacentral:rRNA from 1 species
UAGCUAGUUGGCGGGGCAACGGCCCACCAAGGCGACGAUCGGUAGCCGGCCUGAGAGGGUGAUCGGCCACAUUGGGACUGAGAUACGGCCCAGACUCCUACGGGAGGCAGCAGUAGGGAAUAUUGCACAAUGGGGGGAACCCUGAUGCAGCAACGCCACGUGUGGGAAGAAGCAUUUCGGUGUGUAAACCACUGUCAUGAGGGAAUAAGGCCCGCUUCGGACGGGAUUGAAUGUACCUUGAGAGGAAGCACCGGCAAACUCGUGCCAGCAGCCGCGGUAAUACGAGGGGUGCAAGCGUUGUUCGGAAUUACUGGGCGUAAAGGGAGCGUAGGCGAGAUUCAAGCGGAUUGUACAAUCCCGGGGCCCAACCCCGGCUCUGCAGUCCGAACUGGAUCUCUUGGAUAGUUCAGGGGCAGGCGGAAUUCCUGGUGUAGCGGUGGAAUGCGUAGAGAUCAGGAAGAACACCGAUGGCGAAGGCAGCCUGCUGGGGACUCAUCGACGCUGAGGCUCGAA